rnacentral:rRNA from 1 species
UUGGGCGUAAAGCGAGCGCAGGCGGAAAAAUAAGUCUAAUGUGAAAGCCCUCGGCUUAACCGAGGAACUGCAUCGGAAACUGUUUUUCUUGAGUGCAGAAGAGGAGAGUGGAACUCCAUGUGUAGCGGUGGAAUGCGUAGAUAUAUGGAAGAACACCAGUGGCGAAGGCGGCUCUCUGGUCUGCAACUGACGCUGAGGCUCGAAAGCAUGGGUAGCGAACAGGAUUAGAUACCCUGGUAGUCCAUGCCGUAAACGAUGAGUGCUAAGUGUUGGGAGGUUUCCGCCUCUCAGUGCUGCAGCUAACGCAUUAAGCACUCCGCCUGGGGAGUACGACCGCAAGGUUGAAACUCAAAGGAAUUGACGGGGGCCCGCACAAGCGGUGGAGCAUGUGGUUUAAUUCGACGCAACGCGAAGAACCUUACCAGGUCUUGACAUCUAGUGCAAUCUGUAGAGAUACGGAGUUCCCUUCGGGGACGCUAAGACAGGUGGUGCAUGGCUGUCGUCAGCUCGUGUCGUGAGAUGUUGGGUUAAGUCCCGCAACGAGCGCAACCCUUGUUAUUAGUUGCCAGCAUUAAGUUGGGCACUCUAAUGAGACUGCCGGUGACAAACCGGAGGAAGGUGGGGAUGACGUCAAGUCAUCAUGCCCCUUAUGACCUGGGCUACACACGUGCUACAAUGGGCAGUACAACGAGAAGCAAGCCUGCGAAGGCAAGCGAAUCUCUGAAAGCUGUUCUCAGUUCGGACUGCAGUCUGCAACUCGACUGCACGAAGCUGGAAUCGCU